GUCCUUUUGAUAUUUAUUUAAGGUCUAGUCUGCCCACUGAAUUAAAAUUUUAAAUGGCCGCAGUAUUUUGACUGUGCAAAGGUAGCAUAAUCAUUAGUUUUUUAAUUAAAAGCUUGUAUGAAAGGCUGGACGAGGUAAAAUCUGUCUCUAUUUAAAUUAUAAUAGAAUUUAACUUUUAAGUUAAAAGGCUUAAAUAUUUUUAAAAGACGAGAAGACCCUAUAGAGCUUUAUAAUUUAUUAAAUAAAGUUGAUUUAGAAAUAUUUAUUUUUUAUUUAAUUUAAUUAUUUUAUUGGGGUAAUAGAAAGAUUUAAUAAAUUCUUUUUUUUUAUAAACAUUAAUUUAUGAAUAUUUAAUGAUCCAAUUUUAUUGAUUAUAAGAUUAAGUUACCUUAGGGAUAACAGCGUAAUUUUUUUAGAGAGUUCAUAUCGAUAAGAGAGUUUGCGACCUCGAUGUUGGAUUAAAGAUUAUUUUAGGUGUAGAAGCUUAAUAAAUUUGGUCUGUUCGACCAUUGAAUCUUUAC
rnacentral:rRNA from 1 species